AGGCUCAGUAACACGUAGUCAACAUGCCCAGGGGACGUGGAUAACCUCGGGAAACUGAGGAUAAACCGCGAUAGGCCAAGGUUUCUGGAAUGGACGCUGGCUGAAAUCUAUACGGCCCCUGGAUUGGACUGCGGCCGAUCAGGCUGUUGGUGAGGUAAUGGCCCACCAAACCUGUAACCGGUACGGGCUUUGAGAGAAGGAGCCCGGAGAUGGGCACUGAGACAAGGGCCCAGGCCCUAUGGGGCGCAGCAGGCGCGAAAAUUCUGCAAUAGGCGAAAGCUUGACAGAGUUACUCUGAGUGAUGCCCGCUAAGGACGUCUUUUGGCACCUCUAAAAAUGGUGCAGAAUAAGGGGUGGGCAAGUCUGGUGUCAGCCGCCGCGGUAAUACCAGCACCCCGAGUGGUCGGGACGAUUAUUGGGCCUAAAGCAUCCGUAGCCGGUUCUGCAAGUCUUCCGUUAAAUCCACCUGCUCAACAGAUGGGCCGCGGAGGAUACUACAGGGCUAGGAGGCGGGAGAGGCAAGCGGUACUCAGUGGGUAGGGGUAAAAUCCUCUGAUCCACUGAAGACCACCAGUGGCGAAGGCGGCUUGCCAGAACGCGCUCGACGGUGAGGGAUGAAAGCUGGGGGAGCAAACCGGAUUAGAUACCCGGGUAGUCCCAGCUGUAAACGAUGCAGACUCGGUGAUGAAUAGGCUUCGUGCCUAUUCAGUGCCGCAGGGAAGCCGUUAAGUCUGCCGCCUGGGGAGUACGGUCGCAAGACUGAAACUUAAAGGGAAUUGGCGGGGGAG
rnacentral:rRNA from 1 species